rnacentral:rRNA from 1 species
AGGGGAGCGGCAGACGGGAGAGUAACACGUGGGAACGUACCCUUCAGUUCGGAACAACCCAGGGAAACUUGGGCUAAUACCGAAUACGUCCGUAAGGAGAAAGAUUUAUCGCUGAAGGAUCGGCCCGCGUCUGAUUAGCUUGUUGGUGAGGUAACGGCUCACCAAGGCGACGAUCAGUAGCUGGUCUGAGAGGAUGAUCAGCCUCACUGGGACUGAGACACGGCCCAGACUCCUACGGGAGGCAGCAGUGGGGAAUAUUGGACAAUGGGCGCAAGCCUGAUCCAGCCAUGCCGCGUGGGUGAUGAAGGCCCUAGGGUUGUAAAGCCCUUUCGGCGGGGAAGAUAAUGACGGUACCCGCAGAAGAAGCCCCGGCUAACUUCGUGCCAGCAGCCGCGGUAAUACGAAGGGGGCUAGCGUUGCUCGGAAUCACUGGGCGUA